UUUGCUUUCCUUACAAGCUCGCUGUCUGUGGGUUUCCGCAUGGGGCUGGGGCUGGGGCUCGGGUGGUGGUUGCCCUGAAUGCUGCUGGGAUGCGUGGGCAGUGUGGUGUUUGUGUGCUGGGGUAGGAGGACUCCUGCCUCCCAGGCCGGGGCCUGCGUCUAGCAGAUUAUCUGUGGGCAUAAUACCUGUGAGUGUGCAGUGUGCUAGGUGUGUGUGUGCACGCAAGUGCAUGUGUGAGAAGCAGGCCUCCCUCUGGGCCUGGCUGCUGUCCCCUGAACCCGGUGAACAAAUCUCUAACAACAGUCAUAAUAACAAUAAAUAAUAAAUAACAAUAAAACAGUAGUUAACAGUCCCUCCCUAGCAGGGUAACAAUAAAAUGCAAGAGGAGAUAUUUUGAGGAGGGGCCAGGGGAAGGAGUCAUGAUCACAGCAUCUGAGGGGAAGACAAGGAAGGAAGGGAGGGAGGGAGGAAGGAAGGAAGGAAGGAAGGAAGGAAGGAAGGAAGGAAGGAAGGAAGGAAGUUAGCUUCCUCCUAUGCCUUCGGGGGGGCUGGGUUUGGGAACCCCCUCUCCAGACAAGGUCCUCUGGCCAGAGGAGGAGAGGGAGAGCCAGGAGGCCACUCUUUCCUGCUUCUUUUACUCUGGCUUUUGCUUUGUGCGAUCAGGGGAGGGACCCCACAUAUGGGGGUGAUUAGUGGCUUUGGGGUCUCUGGAGCCCCUGUUUUAAAGAGAAGAGCAAGCGGACAGGGUCAGACGAGGGGGCAGAGAUGGAUGAGGCGAUGGCCAGAGCCAGGGGUCCCGGCCAGUCGGGCCGCAGAGGUGCUGGGGGAGGACCUGCCGCCGGGUAUGGACAGAAGCAGAAAAACAUUUAUGGCCGCCUGCAAGAGAGAGGGGAGAGCAAGGCCGGUUUCCGGUAGGCCCAGGGAAAGUUCCCUUUCUAGGGGCUUUUCAAACAAACAAACAAACAAACAAAAACAGCCACCACAACAGCAACAACAACAAAAAAGGAGAAGAAGGGAGGGGUUGAGGCGCGCUGAAUUUUCCCUCGCGGUCUUGGAACCUGCGGAUUUCCAUAAAAGAAGAGAAGACCACGCUCCCGAAUCCUUCCACAUCUGCCUCGUUUUCUCCAGCCGGUGACCCAUCUGGUCUGAAAGGGACGGAGAACUACACUUGCCACUGAGUCACUUCUUUAAGACCGGUGCACACACAAAGAUUCGCAAGAGAACCCGGGGCGUCCUUGCAUUUGAACACCACGCGAGGCGGAGGAUACUGAUAACCAGUCGGACAAAAUACUAAUAAAAUAAAAUGAAAUCGGGGGAAGCGCUGAGUGCAGGGCGAGCGGGGAGAGGCCGGAUCUUGGGUUCCAGGCGGCCCGGGGCGACGGGGGGCGCCGAGCGGGGCCGGGCUCCUGCUGGCGACCCUGCUCUGUCUCGGCGUCCCCAGCCCGGCCUGCGGCCCCCUUCUCUCCAGCCUCCGCGCCCCUCCUGCCCUCUCGGCUCGGAUGCCUGGUCCGGCCUCCCUGGUGCGAGGAUUUGGGACCUAAGAAGGGGCAAAGUGACUCAAGCCAGACUCUCCAUUUUUCUCCCCUAGGCCUCUCCACUUGCCCAGGCACUCAGCCACCCCGGGACCCACACAACAGGGGCUUCUGGGCCGCCCCCUACCUACUCCUGUAUGGUUUCCCCAAAGUCUAGCGACCUCCAACCCUCCUUGGUGGGGGGGGGGGGCAAAUAUCAGUGGCCAGACUCCUCUGCACCCUGUCAUGGGUGACCUCACUUCAGGAAUAUCUUGAAGGAGAAGAAAAAGAAGGCCGGCUUAGAGCCGUGUUUACAUCUAGUUCUACUGAUCUGUUCACAUCUGGAGAGUUUAUUUAUAACCCCCACUAUAACUCUCCCUGUUUGGAGGCACUGAUGUCUAGAAAAUAUUGCUCUAUCUCUAACCAUACCUAAAUGUGCUGUGCUUGUAUUUACAGAUUUAUGCUCGAGGAAAAUAUAAUUAUUUCCAUUGUAUUCGUGCAUAUACAAUAGUUAUAGAAGUAGAUUUAUAUAUGAGAAAAUAUACGACUCUCUUACAGCCAUCCAGUUUUAUGGACAUUUGAUAUCCUGACAGAUUUAUAUCUCCGAGCAGCUAUAUAGAUAAAUGUAUAUCGUUAGAAUUAUGUAUCAGGAGAUAUAUACUUAUUGAUUGUGAUAUAGAGUAGUUAGAACAUUCACUCAGAGCCAUAUAUGGCUGUGGAGGUAUUUCUAUAUUAUUAUCACUAUAUAUAGGCAUCUCUAUUUAUAACUACAUAGUUAUAAAAAUAGACAUAAGUAAUUAUAGUCCUAUAUGUACAUGCUGCUAUCUCUCUGUAGAGUUAUAGACACUUGUGAAUAUAACUCUGUAGAGAUAUCUGUAUGUAUAUAAGGGUGUAAUUACCUCAUGAUGUGUGUGUAUUGGGGCUCAGACCAGUCUAUCUCUGUAAAGACAUAUUUAUAUGUAGGGGCUGAGAGAGACUUAUUCACAGAAAUAUUUCCAGAGAGCCAACUGAAAAGCAGGAUCGGGCCAUCUAGGAAAUCAUCUAGCAGAGUUCUUUACUUACGGGGAGAGGGCCACAAGGUAAACAGAACAUAGGAAGCCUUGAGAAGAGGAGGCAAAAUGACUGGGGUGUGGCGGGAACAGUCAAGGAGGACAGCAGUGAACCCCAGGCACCCGCCUGAAGACAGGGAGCUGGUUUUGUGAGGGGCAGGUACAGAUGGUCGUGGGCACGGGUCUUGUGGAAGGGGAGGCCGGGAACAGUACCACAACCUGGAGGUAUGCUUCAGCUCCGCGGCCCGGGAGCAGGCCUUCGGUUUGGCUUUCGUGCACUAAAGGUCAGCUACCACCUAGCCCCUUCUGCGUUCCUGGCACAUUGCUCUUGAACCCCAGUUUCAGGGUCUCAGAAAGGUGGCUUCGGAGGUGAGGAGACUUAGGGACAGGACAGGGAGGGGUGCGCUUUCACUGCCUUUGCUCUCUGGGGAUACGGCCAGGAAAGCCAGGGACUGUGGCCAAAUAAAGCUUGCUUUCACCGGGGGCCUCCUGUGCCCCUGGGGGGGCUGUGUGGUAGGAGCCUGUGUGGUAGUUUGAGGGGUAAAUUUUCAAGUGUUGGGCUUAUUCUGAUGGGAGUUUCAGGAGGCCUUGCUCAACCCCCUUUUUCGGAGGCCCAGGCCUCAGGAGCUUAAUCCUGGUCCAUUGGGUCACUCCUCUGUUGCUCCCCAGCUUGGGGUUCCCUCCCCUCUGGGUACAGAAGGCUAUACCCUCCAGCUUCCUACCAGCACUGCCCUGGGCCUUGAGGGGAGAAUUUGGCUCUAAUGUGUGGGGAACGUGGAUCGGCACCUCUAGACCUCAUUUCUCCCACUCACAUCUACCUGGCUCUCUCUCCAGCCUCCUUCCAGGUGCCAACUGGGCCCGGACUCCACAAUUCUUCCCCUGCCACCAACCAUCCCAGGAGAAAAGACAUUUUUCCCCUGGCCCCGGUUCUUUCCAUCUUUCUUUCUUUAAACCAGGAAGUCACAGACCUCUUUGCUCAAUGGUUUGAGGGAGUUUCCCUGCACUCAGGAUCAGUGGCCGGUCAGGCUUCCAAGAUCUCUAGGAUUCUGGCAAGGAAGUGAAGACCCCUGGGCUGGGGUUAAAUGCCAAGUGCCACCCUCCACACACCCCUGCCCACGGGAUUGGAGCUUCUCCGGGACAAGGACUCUAUCUUCUGCCUGACACAGAGGGGUAGCCCGAUACAUGCUUGUGGAGAUAAACCGAAUGGCGAUCAGUGCAACAGCUUUUGGUGGAGAGAAUCUCACCUUCUGUGGCCACUGCUGAGAGCUAGCUAGCAUGCACCUGGGGGCCCUGGCUGGAGUCAGGCCAGGAGCCCAUGGUGGCUGGAGAUUAGUGCCCAGCAGAGAGCAGCCUGAGCUGAGACAGGCGAGUGGGGGGUGGAGUGAGGCACCGAAGCCAGGCUCUGCCCCCGUAGAGUGACUCCACCCCCCACCCCCCACCCCAGCCUCCUGGCUUCCCAGACCCCCAAGCACAUGAAAACUAAACCAGAACUGAGACCUGGACUGGGAAGGAGCUGCCUGUCAGCCUGAGGGCUCCAAAAAGGAACUACCACUUGGUCCAUUAAGAAAUACAUAAAUAGGGGUACCUGGGUGGCUCAGUCAGUUGAGCGUCUGACUUCGGCUCAGGUCACGAUCUCACGGUUUGUGGGUUCGAGCCCCAAGUCGGGCUCUGUGCUGACAUCUCAGAGCCUAGAGUCUGCUUUAGAUUCUGUGACUCCCUCUCUCUCUGCCCCUCACCCACUUGCACUCUCUCUCUCUCUCUCAAAAAUAAAUAAACAUUAAAAAAAAAAAUAACAUAAAAAAACAUAAAUAAAACAAAAAAUAAAUCAGCAUGAGACAGACACCCUGGUAGAAGGAUAGCCCUCAGCCGGGCUCCAGGGAUACUACCAAAUGCAUCAGAAUAAAUAUUUUAAAAGUUUUUUCACUUAAAAUGUUCACAAAUUUUCUGAUUCGGUAAUAUUCUCUAAUUAGGUUGUUUCAUAUAGUUCUUUUUUUUAAAGUUUAUUUAUUUGUUUUGGGGGGGGGUGCAGAGAGGGAGAGAAUCCCAAGCAGGCUUUGCACCACCAGGGAAGAGCCACCAGCACAGAGCCCCAUGUGGGGCUUGAACUCGUGAACCACGAGCUCAUGACCUGAGCUGAAACCAGGAUUCGGACACUUAACCGACUGAGCCACCCAGAGAUUACAAUGAAAACACAAACCAGACACGUGUUUUUGGAUGACGGAUUGCGAGUAGUCUCUUGGACCACCUAAAAAGCCCCCUGGAGUCCCAGUGAUCUGUGGAGCUCACUUCCUCAGCCCCAGCCCAGGGUGGAGAGCCAGAGUCAAUGUCAUGAGAGUCUUCAUCACAGACGGAGCAGCCUGGCCUGUCAUUGAGAUCCUGGGUGUUGCUGCCCAGAUACCCAGACCCUGAGGUCAGCCUCCACCUCGCUGCCCAAGUACGCAGUUCACCUGGGAAGAAGCGAGUCUAGGCUAGAGGACACAAAAACCAGUCCCUAUCAUGGAGGCAGCCAUCCAUCCUCUCUGUGGAUAAGGCUAUCCUCACCCCGAACCUAAGGUUUCCAAGCUGCUUAGAGGAAUCCAGAACUCUCUCUCUGCAUCUUUAUUACUGAUAAAGUCAUAUUACAGUAAUAUUACUGAUUACAGAUCUUGAGAGAUGAAAUGAAGUUGGAAAGAAACUGGAUUCAUCCAGGUAAAAAGAACAUUAUGCACAAUUUAUCACUAUGUGAGCUUCUGUUUGUUCUGAACAUGGUGGUCAUUCAUUCCAUGACUUAGUUCCAAUUUAUGGACAGUGUCUUGAAGCCCCCUCAAUACUCAUAACCAUAAUCGCUUCCAUUAAGAGAAGAUGACUAUAUGCCAGGUGCUUUAUACUGAAUUUGAUGAGGAAAUGUAAUCUCAGAAAGGUUAAGUCACCUGCCCAAGGUCACAUAGCCAGGUUUGAACCAGGUUUCCCCAUCUGCUAUGUUUUAACACUUCCAAGUCAUGCCUCGUGGGUUAGAUAAACAGCAGAUAGUCAUGGCAAUGAAACUGAUAUUUAAAAAAAAAAUAGUUUUACAUCCUAUGGACAUACCGGGGGGCGGGGGGGGGGGAGGGCACUUGUACACUGACUCCUACAGUGGCCAAUCCAAGUGCAUGCACACUAUUGGCAUUUUUCUCUCUCUGAAUUCAGUGUUACUGGCAGCCCCUGUGAUUUCUCAGCAUAAUGACUGCCCUCACCGCUUGGAGUCCACCCCUUUCCCAUAGCUGAGGCCUCUGGGUUCUAGGGGAGCCCUUGACUUUCCACUAGCCCAGGCAGAGUCUAGCUUCCUCACCAGGGUCAGCCGAUGUGAAACUGAGAAGUAUCUCGAGAUUAAUCUUCAGAACCCCUCACUCCCUGAGCAUCCCUCCCCCAACUCCCCAGCAGUGCUUUCCUUGUUCUAUCCUUGUUUGAUAAACUACCCCAGCGGUGCUUUUCUAUUUGAAAGGAUGUGAUCUGCCGAGGACCGCACUUAACACCUCGUGCUCUAAUGGUGGAGCUCACGGCAUUUCAGUGGCGAGAUAAUUGGGGAGGGGGAAAACAGAGUCUUCCCAGGGGCUUUAAACUGCAUCAAUGCAUAAGGCUGAUCCUGCACCUCAUUAUCCAUUAACUUCAGAUGAAAGCUAUCAAAUUGGAUCCCUUAUUCUGAUAUUUGAAACUGAGCAGACAGGGGGCUGAUUUCUCUGCUUUCACCUGACUGCUGGCACCAGGCAGAUACCCUGCCAUUGUCCUGCCUCAUCUUGCCUUUGCCUCCCUCCCAUGGGGGGCAGGGUCCCUAAGGGACACAGCUCCCCAUGGUGUGGCUGCAGGGGCCCUGUGGAAAAGGUUGAGUUGUCAAAUGAGGAGACACCACAGCUAACACCCCCUCUCCCUCACCCCCCACCAACUCUGGAAUGAAGAUGGAGAGUUUUCUGUGCCUGGUUUGGUUCACGGAGACACAUAGUCCAUCAUUUGAUUUUCUACAAAGAGUAUUCCUUCCCUGCCCCCCAGCAUCCUCUAGUUUUUUUUCUCAGAGCUGGAAGGAUCUUAGUGAUGUCCUAAUCGAACCACCUCAUUGUGAAGGAAGGGAAACUGAGGCUCAGACAGACACCAGGACCCAGGUAUUUCGAUCCCUAAGCCAUGCUGCAUCUGGCUCUCUUUGCACUUCAGCUGAAUACUUUUUUCAUCGCUCCCUCUAAACCCCAGGAUCCAAGCUUACCUUCCAUGGCAGUCUAUACAGACACCAACAAACGCCAUGAUGGCGGAGCCCUCCCAGCCCAGGAGCAACCACUUUUGGGCACAGGCUUCAGCAUACCCACACCAUGCUCCAUAAUCCCGCUAGAGCCCAUCUGUGAUUUCUGUGAAGUUAAAGGGUCUCUCUGUUCCCCUGGUUUCUGCCCCACUCCCCAGAGCUGGCCAGGGCCUGCAGAGGGGCUGGAGGGCUCAGGCAGAGAGCAAAUGGGUCAACACAACUUUUGUUCCUCGCAGCCUCACGUGAGGACCGAGGCUGCUUUGAAUAGAGAAGUUUCCUUAAUAUGCUGUCAAAGGAAAGAAACCUGUCUCAUCGUCCAACUCUGAUGACUGAAGCCCGGGGAAGGGAGUUGAGCUUAAUUAGCGUUAGGAAUGCUGAUUCCACAUAAGAAAGAACUUGCCAGCGGGGAGAGUCGUCUGACUACUGGGAUCUCUGAAUACACCAGUAUUUCAGGUGUGCUUAUAAGAAGAAAUUAGAACACAGACACAAAGACCACAGGAAGCCAGGACCACGUGAAGAAGACCAUCCAUAAGCCAAGGAGAGAGACCCCGAAAGAAACCAACCCUGCCAACACCUUGAUCUUGGACUUCUAAACCUCCAGAACGGCAAAAGAAAUAAAUUUCUAUUGUUUAAGCCACCCGGUGUGUGGUACUUUAUUAGGGCAACCCCAGCAAAC